GACGAACGCUGGCGGCGUGCUUAACACAUGCAAGUCGAACGGAAAGGCCCUGCUUUUGUGGGGUGCUCGAGUGGCGAACGGGUGAGUAACACGUGAGUAACCUGCCCUUGACUUUGGGAUAACUUCAGGAAACUGGGGCUAAUACCGGAUAGGAGCUCCUGCUGCAUGGUGGGGGUUGGAAAGUUUCGGCGGUUGGGGAUGGACUCGCGGCUUAUCAGCUUGUUGGUGGGGUAGUGGCUUACCAAGGCUUUGACGGGUAGCCGGCCUGAGAGGGCGACCGGCCACAUUGGGACUGAGAUACGGCCCAGACUCCUACGGGAGGCAGCAGUGGGGAAUAUUGCACAAUGGGCGGAAGCCUGAUGCAGCAACGCCGCGUGCGGGAUGACGGCCUUCGGGUUGUAAACCGCUUUCGCCUGUGACGAAGCGUGAGUGACGGUAAUGGGUAAAGAAGCACCGGCUAACUACGUGCCAGCAGCCGCGGUGAUACGUAGGGUGCGAGCGUUGUCCGGAUUUAUUGGGCGUAAAGGGCUCGUAGGUGGUUGAUCGCGUCGGAAGUGUAAUCUUGGGGCUUAACCCUGAGCGUGCUUUCGAUACGGGUUGACUUGAGGAAGGUAGGGGAGAAUGGAAUUCCUGGUGGAGCGGUGGAAUGCGCAGAUAUCAGGAGGAACACCAGUGGCGAAGGCGGUUCUCUGGGCCUUUCCUGACGCUGAGGAGCGAAAGCGUGGGGAGCGAACAGGCUUAGAUACCCUGGUAGUCCACGCUGUAAACGGUGGGUACUAGGUGUGGGGUCCAUUCCACGGGUUCCGUGCCGUAGCUAACGCUUUAAGUACCCCGCCUGGGGAGUACGGCCGCAAGGCUAAAACUCAAAGGAAUUGACGGGGCCCCGCACAAGCGGCGGAGCAUGCGGAUUAAUUCGAUGCAACGCGUAGAACCUUACCUGGGUUUGACAUGGAUCGGGAGCGCUCAGAGAUGGGUGUGCCUCUUUUGGGGUCGGUUCACAGGUGGUGCAUGGCUGUCGUCAGCUCGUGUCGUGAGAUGUUGGGUUAAGUCCCGCAACGAGCGCAACCCUUGUUCACUGUUGCCAGCACGUUAUGGUGGGGACUCAGUGGAGACCGCCGGGGUCAACUCGGAGGAAGGUGGGGAUGACGUCAAGUCAUCAUGCCCCUUAUGUCCAGGGCUUCACGCAUGCUACAAUGGCUGGUACAGAGAGUGGCGAGCCUGUGAGGGUGAGCGAAUCUCGGAAAGCCGGUCUCAGUUCGGAUUGGGGUCUGCAACUCGACCUCAUGAAGUCGGAGUCGCUAGUAAUCGCAGAUCAGCAACGCUGCGGUGAAUACGUUCCCGGG
rnacentral:rRNA from 1 species